rnacentral:misc_RNA from 1 species
AACCAUAGAAACCUGCGGAGUACCUGCGGAGGGAUCAUUAAAGAUUGACCGAAAGGUCUUAUCUCUAUAUCCCUCACCUCUGUGAACUGUGGACCUCCGGGUCUAUUUAACAAACAUCAGUGUAAUGAACGUAUAUAUCAUUAAACAAAACAAAACUUUUAGCAAUGGAUCU